rnacentral:rRNA from 1 species
GAUGAACGCUGGCGGCGUGCCUAAUACAUGCAAGUCGAGCGAACAGAUGAGGAGCUUGCUCCUCUGACGUUAGCGGCGGACGGGUGAGUAACACGUGGAUAACCUACCUAUAAGACUGGGAUAACUUCGGGAAACCGGAGCUAAUACCGGAUAAUAUAUUGAACCGCAUGGUUCAAUAGUGAAAGACGGUUUUGCUGUCACUUAUAGAUGGAUCCGCGCCGCAUUAGCUAGUUGGUAAGGUAACGGCUUACCAAGGCAACGAUGCGUAGCCGACCUGAGAGGGUGAACUGCCACACGGGAUCUGAGACUCGGUCCAGACUCUUACGGUGGGCAGCGGUACAGAAUCUUCCGCAAUGGGCGAGUGCGUGACAGUGCAACGCCGCGGGAGUGCUGAUGGUGUUCGGAUGGUAAAACUAAGUUGUUUGGCAGGUACUAAUGUGCAGUUAUCUAGGAACGUCUUGACGGUACCUAAUCAGAAAGCCCCGGCUAACUACGUG